rnacentral:rRNA from 1 species
GAUGAACGCUGGCGGCGUGCCUAAUACAUGCAAGUCGAGCGAACAGAUGAGGAGCUUGCUCCUCUGACGUUAGCGGCGGACGGGUGAGUAACACGUGGAUAACCUACCUAUAAGCCUGGGAUAACUUCGGGAAACCGGAUCUAAUACCGGAUAAUAUAUUGAACCGCAUGGUUCAAUAGUGAAAGACGGUUUUGCUGUCACUUAUAGAUGGAUCCGCGCCGCAUUAGCUAGUUGGUAAGGUAACGGCUUACCAAGGCAACGAUGCGUAGCCGACCUGAGAGGGUGAUCGGCCACACUGGAACUGAGACACGGUCCAGACUCCUACGGGAGGCAGCAGUAGGGAAUCUUCCGCAAUGGGCGAAAGCCUGACGGAGCAACGCCGCGUGAGUGAUGAAGGUCUUCGGAUCGUAAAACUCUGUUAUUAGGGAAGAACAAAUGUGUAAGUAACUAUGCACGUCUUGACGGUACCUAAUCAGAAAGCCACGGCUAACUACGUG